rnacentral:rRNA from 1 species
GGACCCGCACAAGUAGUGGAGCAUGUGGUUUAAUUCGAAGAUACGCGCAGAACCUUACCAACACUUGACAUGUUUGUCGCGACUUUAAGAGAUUAAAGUCUUCGGUUCGGCCGGACAAAACACAGGUGCUGCAUGGCUGUCGUCAGCUCGUGUCGUGAGAUGUUGGGUUAAGUCCCGCAACGAGCGCAACCCUCACUUUUAGUUGCCAUCAUUUAGUUGGGCACUCUGAAAGAACUGCCAGUGAUAAGCUGGAGGAAGGUGGGGAUGACGUCAAGUCCUCAUGGCCCUUACGUGUUGGGCUACACACGUGCUACAAUGGCAUUUACAAUAGGAAGCAAGAUGGCGACAUCAAGCAAAUCCUAAAAAAAUGCCUCAGUUCGGAUUGUACUCUGCAACUCGAGUACAUGAAGCUGGAAUUACUAGUAA